CAGCCGCCGCGGGAAAACAGAGGGUGCAAGCGUUAAUCGGAAUUACUGGGCGUAAAGCGCGCGUAGGUGGUUUGUUAAGUUGGAUGUGAAAUCCCCGGGCUCAACCUGGGAACUGCAUCCAAAACUGGCAAGCUAGAGUAUGGUAGAGGGUGGUGGAAUUUCCUGUGUAGCGGUGAAAUGCGUAGAUAUAGGAAGGAACACCAGUGGCGAAGGCGACCACCUGGACUGAUACUGACACUGAGGUGCGAAAGCGUGGGAAGCAAACAGGAUUAGAUACCCCCGUAGUCCCUGUCUCUUAUAC
rnacentral:rRNA from 1 species